GCGGUUGUGUUUUUUGUGAUUGUGAAAAGUGUAUUGUGAAAAAAAUCGAGUGUAAAUCAGAAGAUUAUACAUAAAAUAAAAGGAAAGGAAAGGAAGGAAAAUAUAACGUGAACUUUAAACAAGAUCAUACACAAAUUUGUCUACAAUCAAAAUUUAAGUUGCAAGUUAUAAAU